CCUUUCGUCAAAAUGAAACCCUAAAAAAUGAAAUCCUAUAAAUUGAAAGCGAAGAUCGACAGAAAUUGUACAGACAUAUUCCUUCAAACCCUAAUGAAGAUUUCAAUCUCGAAGCCGAGAGUUUUAACAUCAUCGACAAUGUCUAAGCUGAAAUUCAAUCCAAGACGAGGAAGGUUUCCUUUAAUUUUUUAUUCUGGGGGUUGGAAAUUGGAAUAGAAAUGUUUGCGAUUAACAGGAAUUCCAUCGGAGUCCGAAACCUCUGAUUUUCACUGGAAAGCAGCUGGAAGAUGGCCGAACACUUUUGAAUGUUUCCAUUCAAAGAGGUUGAAAAUGGGCGCUCGUUGAUGCGCUGAAUUUACCUUUUGAUGACUGCUCGUUGAGAUCUUUGAAAUCUCUGGCUUACCAAGAGGCUCGAACUUCACUGGGCCGAUCUUUUCAUUCUCCAUGGUCUCCUGGGAUUGGGAAGAAAUUGAAGGUCCUUCACUCGGAAUCUUCUUUCACGGCUUUCAUUCCUCUUGAGGAAUUUUCGAUAGGGGGAGACAUUUGGUCUCCUUUUUUAGGCUUAAGUUUGGGUUCCCUAACCUCCCCUUUCUCAUUGGAGGUAAUUAGAUAUAUGUAGUUUUAAGUAUUAUUUACAUACAUAUCUCAUCAAGUACAUCAACAUUCGCAUUUAAAGUAGUAAGUUUUGUAUGUCGACUAAAAGCACAGGAAUCGUCCUCAUAUCUACCCUAAACAAAGCACACGACCUUGACAAAACGUAAUAUUACAAGAAUUAAGGUGUUUUUGUUGGAAAA